ACCAAAAAAAUGCACAUUGAAAUCUCAUGAUUAGGGUUCCACCAAUAACUUGGAAUUCGUGUGAACUCACAAGUUAUUGGUGGAAAUAGAACCUGUACCUCGUAUAAAGAGUUUAUGUGUCAAAUAAAUAUUACUCCCGAGGUCACAGAUAGGCUUUUUAACCAAUUAAAUAACACAGAAAUAUUUAGAUGGUCCAUUAUUAUAAUAAACCUGAUAUUUCUUUGGUAUCUUACAUAUCAAAAAGUACUUGCUCUUGCAUACAUUAAUGAAUUAGCACCUCCUAGCCUCUGGCUAACCCAUUUUACAGUGGAAAGGAUCAAAGCUCUACUUGCCCAAAGUAACUCACCUAAGGAGAAGUCUUUGGAGAAGUCUUUGGAGUCUUGUGGCUCUUUCUCUCACGCAUAUAGGUAGGGCUGGCUUUUGUGGGAGUGUGACCAGUGCCUACUCCCCACCCCCACCCUCGGCUUAUGUUCCACUCUCACUGUCUUCCAGUUCAUAAUUUUUGAACAAGGAGGCCCUGUAUUUCACUUUGCGCUGGGCCACACAAAUUACGUGGUCCAGGUUGACAGAGUUCCAGCGUGUCGCCACAUGGGCCCUCACCUGCAGAGUUGGUGAGGUACCAUCAUCGUCACUCCAGGCAAAGUGCCCUUGUUGCUUUUCUUUUCCUGCUUUUUCUCCACACCAGGUACCCACUCUAAUAGUUGUCUUUGGGUACAUACUUCCUUUUUUUAAAAAAAUCUAUUUUAAAGUAAUAAAUCCAAAUUAUUCUUUAAAAAUGUAUAGCUUAUUGAGUUUUCCCAAGCUGAACACGCCCAUGUAACCAACGCGCAGAUCAAGAAACAAAAACAUUAUCAGCCCCCAGAAACCCAUUCUGUGCCUUUCCAGCUCCUACAUUCUCAAGAGUGACCACUAUUUGAAUUCUAACACCAAAGACCAGUGCUUCCUGUUCUUGUAUUUUAUACAAACGGAAUCAUACAUUAUAUAUUCUUUUGUGUCUAACUUCUUUCCUCACCGUUGACUGUGAGAUUCAUCCACGUUGUUGAGCAUGGCAGGCAGAGUUCUAAGAUGACCCCAGAGGUUCCAUCAUCGUCUUUUGUACACACAUCUUUUCCCAGUUAUUCAAUCAAACAUUAAUCCAGGUGCUGCUGCAAAGGGAUUUUGCAGAUGUAAUUAAGGCCCAAAUCAGUUGGCUUUAAGAUAGGGAGAUUAUUCUCAAUGGACCUGAUCACAUGAGUCCUUAAAAGGGACUGGGAAGAGAUUUGAAGUAUGAGAGAGACUGACAUGAGGGAAGUUCUUCAUUGUUGGCUUCGAAGACAGAGGGGUCCCCAUGGCAAGAAAUGCAGACAGCCUCUAGGAACUGAGAUUAGGCCCUGGCUGACAACCAGCAAGGAAAUGACAGCCAAACCGAAUCACACAAAAGAUCCUGAAUUCUGCCAACAACCUGAAUGCACUUGGAAGAGGAUCCUGAUCACCAGCCAUCUACCCCUUAACUUCAGCCUGUGAGGCCCUCAGCUGAGAACCCAGCUACACCAUGCCCAGAUUUAAGACCUACACAACUGCGAGCCUGUAUUUUAUGCAGACUUGCCAUGACCUAAUAAGGAACUGGUCUCCACCCUCGCUGACACUAACAGUAACUGGCUAAUCUAAUAGCAAAAAGCCCACACGCCCAAGAGCCAAAAGAGUCAAGGGAAAACAACAGCUUUAAACCCUGGUACUGACUCUCCUCGAUGGCCAGGUCACCUGCACGAAUUAGCGACGCAGACCGAUGCUGACAUUAGCUGCAGUUAGAACUUCGUGGCAGUUUCUGUGUGGGAAGGACCCGGAUUACUUGCUACUAGGCAGAUGAUCAGCGCUGUCCAGGGCACCUCUGCUGACACUGCGCUUCUAAUCUUGAUAGUAUUUUAAAUCUGACUGUCUUCGCAGCAAGUCAAAGAAGCAUCUUUUAUACACACACAAACACGAGCAUCUGUGCUGGAGUCAGACACAGAAGAUCUUGAAACAUGGAGGUCUGCAGUCCCUGCUGUUGCUAUUAAUAUGGAUCCGGGUUCCAUUUUAAGCCGAAUGUGUAUUCCGAGUGCAGAAUUGCAGCAAACACUCAGAAAGCCUUGCAAACAAAAGAGUAAACACAUGGAUAACUGAUCAUGAUGCCAGAGUCAGCGAGCACCAUUUUUACAUCCUAAUUGCCAGGAAUGGGGACAGCUGCGUCAUUGUUUCAAACACACACUCGCACACAAUUAAGCCAAGAACAAAUGUCAACACUGGCACCAUCUACUAAAUUACCGAUAACUGAUGGGCAUUGCUCAUGCUGUGAGCAUCGUCGUCUCCAAUAUAAAAUGGAAAGAUGCCUUUUUAACAGAGACCUUAGAGGUUCCCAAGAAAGCCGCGUUUCGUAUCAGAUAGCACAACUGCAACCUGCCAGAUUAUGACCCUCCCUACUGCCGCAGCCCCCAUCACACACCCCAUUGAUGGCUCAUUAUUGUACCAACUUGAGAAUGAAUUCUUUGCCUCCUUCCAGGGGAGCAGGCAAGAAGGGGCAGAGGAUCGCCACCCGUAUGAAAGCUAACGCUGUGUUAAGUGCUUUGUCCUUCAAUUCAUUUGACGUUCAUAGAAAUCGGUUAAGUGUGGUCACCCGGGGCUGGUCCAUUGAGCACUGGCACGAUCUCAGAGCUCGUCUGUGACACACUCUUUUGGCUACUUUCUGGGGAUUUCCUCUACUCCAUAGGUCCCUGGUGCAAAAACACUCUCUUCCCCCUUCCUUUUAAAACCCUGAUCUUGGGAAAGGCUCUGGUAGCUCUCAUUUAAAUCCUAGUGUUCCUGACGGAGAGAAAUUUAACUGGAAGUAUCAUCAGUGCCUGUAAUACAGGUGACGUCCCAUGAGAAGUGCACUCAGAGCCCUGGAAGGAAACUUACAGGUAACCAUCACUUAACUACAUCCUCAGACAUUUUCAAUGCACUCUCAUGGGGAGUGGUUUUCUGGAGGAACACAUAUCUGACGUUAGAACAGGAAUUAGUGGAAACAGAAUUCUUUCUAAAGGAAAUUUCCGGUCAGCCAGUAAUAUCAAUACUUGCAUGCAAAAAACAACAGGAUCGGUGUAUUCUGCUGGAAAACACACCGGAAACAGAUCAUUGGCUGCAAGUGUAGUCACCAAUAUGACAGCCUGGCUUGGCUAUGUUGUAGGUUUGCCCAGAUUGUCA